GCUCCAAUCCUAGAAAGGUUAGUGACAAGAAUACCUGAAGGAAUAUUUUUUUUUUACAAUUAUCCUUAUAUGCUAAAUACACAAGGUAAUGUUGCAAAUAAUUAAAAGCUCAUGUUACAAUCUGAUCAAUGCUUAUUUUAAGACACUAAGCUUGUCCUUGGGAAACCAUCAGUUUAUGUUGGCGAAGUGGUUUCCCCUCCGAUGCCAACCUAUAUCUAGAUCAACUCAACGAGAUCUGCAAUAUUUAUUAUAGACAUAUGCAUCGACAACCGCCCUUUUAAAGUUUUUAUAAAUAGAAAGGAAGAGGGGGUUGGAGAUCUCAAGUGUGGUGAUGUCGGAGAGACCAAU
rnacentral:lncRNA from 1 species